AGAGUUGAUCUGGCUCAGAACGAACGCUGGCGGCAGGUCUUAGGCAUGCAAGUCGAACGGAUGACAGAGAGCUUGCUCUCUGAAGUCAGUGGCGCACGAGUGAGUAACGCGUGGGAAACUGCCCUUCACUGGGGAAUAACGUUUGGAAACGAACGCUAAUACCGCAUACGCCCGCAAGGGGAAAGAUUUAUCGGUGAUGGAUGUGCCCGCGUUGGAUUAGCUAGUUGGUGGGGUAAUGGCCUACCAAGGCGAUGAUCCAUAGCUGGUCUGAGAGGACGAUCAGCCACGCUGGAACUGAGACACGGUCCAGACUCCUACGGGAGGCAGCAGCUAAGAAUAUUGGGCAAUGGAGGAAACUCUGACCCAGCCCAUGCCGCGUGAAUGAAGAAGGCCUUCGGGUUGUAAAGUUCUUUUAGUCAUGAAGAUGAUGACAGUAGUGACAGAAAAAGCACCGGCUAACUUCGUGCCAGCCGCUGC
rnacentral:rRNA from 1 species